GAUCAUGGGCUCAGGAUGAACGCUAGCGACAGGCUUAACACAUGCAAGUCGAGGGGCAGCAUGAGGUAGCAAUACCUUGAUGGCGACCGGCGCACGGGUGAGUAACGCGUAUGCAACCUGCCCGAUACCGGGGUAUAGCCCAUGGAAACGUGGAUUAACACCCCAUAGUACUUUUAUCCUGCCUGGGAUGGGAGUUAAAUGUUCAAGGUAUCGGAUGGGCAUGCGUCCUAUUAGUUAG
rnacentral:rRNA from 1 species